ACAAGCCGCUUUCGUUAUUGCGGAAAGAGCCAAAGUGUGAAUCGCUUGUAGAAGAAGUUCGUCGUAGAGUAGAUAAUAUUGUGCUGUUAAAAACGUUUUAGAAUAUCUGCCCACCAUUUCAGAUCGUGGUCUCCUACAAUUGAACAAAGCUUGAGGUGGCAGUCAGUUCGUGAAAGUCGGAGUACAGAAGCAACAGCAAUAUAAAGUGGUUAACUCAGAUAAUUCAAUAAGCCACAUACAAAGUGUGAAACAUGCCUGCUGUUAAAUCGAAAAGUAAAAGGAAGAUGCCGGCUAAAAGAAAAUCAACGAGGAAAGUUAAGAGUUGCGCAGUUUCUAAGAGAAAGUGUCGCCCAAGUGCUCCCAGAAAAAUUAAGAAAGCUGUAGAAAAAGCUGCAAAGGAAGUAGUAAGAGAUAGUAUGAGGGGUAGAAAUGUAAUGCGAAAGAAAUCGUCUGGCUCAAAGAAAUCAACUUCUCGUAGAUCAAGACGCAGCAAGAGGAGAACGUGAAUGUUUGGAAUUUAUGUUUCUCAUACAAAAAUGUUCAUCCUUGAAUAUUGAUUAAAAACCCAUUAACAAAUGUAAUACAGUGUGUCCAGAAAGUCCCUUCGGGGAUUUGAAAAAUUGAGCUAGUCACAUGCGGUUUGCGGAACAUUACAGUGAAACUCUGGAAACUUUUCACUGACCUCAGUAGAACGUCCAGAUGAUAUUCGAGCUCUUGUCAUGUUCUGUGGAGCAUGUUGGCUGGAGCAAGUCCGUUAACUGGUGACCUGAAGACCAGUAUCUGGAAGGCGAUCUCGGCUAUUCCACAGAACAUGGCAAGAGCUCGAAUUUCGUCUGUACGUUCUCCGUGCUACCAAGGGAGCCUACAUCGAGGUCUACUGAGGUCAGUAAAACACUUCCAGAGUUUCACUGUAAUUGGCCGCAAACCGCAUGUGGCUAGCUCAAUUUGGUUGCGCGCCACAAUUUUUCAAAACCCCGAAGGGAUUUUGUGGACACGCCGUACAUUUCAAAUGUAAUACUUCAUGAGAUUUGCUGUUUUGUGGGUUUAUGAUAAAAUUUAAUCAUACAAAUAUAUUACUUGAUUUGCUUGCAUUUGAAAUUGUUAUUUUGUAAUGUAGAGUCAGUCCAUGCAUAGACAUGCUUCUGUUUUGCAAUAAAAAUAUAUCUGCAGUAGUACAACAACCUUA